AACGCAUCUUGCGCUCCUUGGUAUUCCGAGGAGCAUGCCUGUUUGAGUGUCAUUAAUCUCUCAACCACACCAAUCUUUUUGGCUUGGUGUGGCUUUUGGAUGUGGGGGUUUUAUUUUGCUGGCUCCUAUUAAAUGAGGUCAGCUCCCCUGAAACUUAUUAGCGGUAUCUGAGCAGAGAGACCUACUACAGGUGUGAUAAAUUAUCUAUGCCUUGGUCAUACUGCAUGAACAGAUUGUGCUGCUUCCAGUGAAUCAUUUGACAAUUUUGACCUCAAAUCAGGUAGGACUACCCGCUGAACUUAA
rnacentral:misc_RNA from 3 species